rnacentral:rRNA from 1 species
AUUGAACGCUGGCGGCAUGCCUUACACAUGCAAGUCGAACGGCAGCGCGGACUUCGGUCUGGCGGCGAGUGGCGAACGGGUGAGUAAUACAUCGGAACGUACCCUGUUGUGGGGGAUAACUAGUCGAAACUCGGGCUAAUACCGAAUAGCAACUCUGCGGAGGAAAGCUGGGGACCUGGUAACAGGCCUGUCGCUUGAAGAGGAGCCUGCGUACGAUUAGCGAGGUGGCGGGGUAAAGGCCUACCAAGGCAAAGAGCUGUAGCGGGUCUGGAAGGACUAUCCGGCCAACAGGGAAUGAGAACAGGGCCAGACUUCUACGGGAGGAAGCAGUGGGGAAUAUUGGAAAAUGGGGGGAAGCCUGAUCCAGCCAUGCCGGGUAUGUGAAGAGAGGCUUUUGGUUGUAAAGCACUUUAAGCGAGGAGGAGACUACUAGUAUUAACACCACUGGAUAGAGGACGUUACUCGAAGAAUAAGCACCGGCUAACUAUGUGCCAGCCGCCGCCGUAA